rnacentral:lncRNA from 10 species
UGGGCAUGCAGUUCCAUCUAGCAUGGAGAUCUAGAAGAAAGGAUCUGAGUGACAGGCUUAGGUGCGUUGUCUGCGUCCCAGGAACAGAGCAAAGCACACUGGCUCAGGCAUGAGGAAGCCACACCCCAAUCCUGCCUUUCAGGUGCCAAUGGAGAACAACCCCUUCAGCGGAACCAUGGUGCUUUACAUCUCUCUCUGAACUCUCAGAUCUCCUAAGUGGAGAUGGCUGAUUAAGGCUCUUAUCUUUCACGUUCUAAAAUCAAUUUAGUGUUGUUCGGAGCCAGCAAUGUUAAAAUAUAUUUGUAUUUUGAAACAAAGUUAACAUAGAGAAAUGAAAAAUAAAAUGUUGAGAAUUUUACAUUUAAUUGCAGAUAUAAUUCUGUGUUCUGUAUGUUACUUAGUUUUCUAUCUUAAAUAGUUUGAAGGUAAACACUUCUUUUAC